rnacentral:lncRNA from 1 species
UGAUUUCAAAACUCGGUCCUCCAGAAAGUGGAGAGCAACACUUAUGUAGUUCAACUACGUGAUAUCGUUCAAAAAAGCUGCGUUGGAAAGGUUUACCUACACAUACUGACCAGAUCAUGUUAUAGAUAGAAGCAUGCUACAUUGCAGACCAAUCCGAAUUCAUCUCUCGGCAUGUCCAGCCCACUCAUUAUCUCAGCCAAUCAUGGCUAGCGGGAAGGUUGCUGCCUUUUUCUGUGGCUAAACCAACUAGGCUCGUAAUUUAACAAUUGUAUUUAUAUUUACAGGUGGCAUACGAGUUUGUUAUUACAGUUUUUUACAAUCGCUUAGACACUAAAAGUGGUACUUGAGGCACACUCAGUGAAACCAUUAACUCAUGUACCUAAUCUCCAGACCACGUCUGCAAAACUGCAAGCACAUUAUCUGCUUUACACUCAGUUUGCAAUUGUAAAACACACUUUCUGCAAAACACUAAACACAGGUCUCUACAUUAGACACAUCAUUCAAAACUAACAGGUCUUGUGUUUCAUUUGGAAAUACUGCCAUUCCAAAUGCCGCACUCAUUUACCGAUUACCUACACCCAGUGCUCACAUGUGAAAACACUUAACUAAUUUCUUCACUUAGAAAUCAGAGCUUGAGCACUGUAAAUAGGCUUCAGGUUGGUUUUCUUGGUUUGGACAACAAAUGGAGGCCAAUUUUGGAGAGUUAGAGGAAGAGGAGUGAGAGUAAGAGGAGGAUGAGGACAAUGAGGAGGACAAAGUGUCACACCCUGAUCUGUUUCACCUGUCUUUGUGAUUGUCUCCACCCCCCUCCAGGUGUCGCCCAUCUUCCCCAUUAUCCCCUGUGUAUUUAUACCUGUGUUCUCUGUUUUUCUGUUGCCAGUUCUUCUUGUUUGUCAAGUCAACCAACAUUUUGUAUCAGCAUGCUUUCCGCAGUAUCUCUUUUCUCAUCCCCCUGGUUUUUGACCCUUGCCUGUCCUGAACCUGCCCCUGAGCCUGCCUGCCGUCCUGUACCUUUGCCCCACCUCUGGAUUACCAACCUCUGCCUGACCUGAGCCUGCCUGCUGUCCUGUACCUUUGUCCCUGUUGCUGUAAUAAACAUUGUUACUUCGACAUGGUCUGCAUCUGGGUCUUACCUUUAUCCUGAUAGGAAGAGGACGAGGAGUGGGACAAGGAAGAGGAGGAAGGAGAACAAUCACAGAUGAGAUCCGGGCCACUUUGGUUGACCAUGUGGUCAUCCAUGGUUUGAGUUUCAGGGAGGCUGGGCACAGGGUCCAGCCUAACUUGAGCCGCUACACUGCAGCAAGUGCCAUCUGGACAUUUCGAAAUGAGAACAGUGAAGGUUCUCGAGUGGUGCAGUGGUCUAAGGCACUGAAAUGAAGUGCUAAAGACAUCACUACAGACCCUGGUUCGAUCCCAGGCUGUAUCACAACCGGCUGUGAUUGGGAGUCCCAUAGGGCGGUGCACAAUUGGCCCAGCGUCGUCCGGGUUAGGGGAGGGUUUGGCCCGGG